ACUCAAAUGAAUAGACGGGGGCCCGCACAAGCGGUGGAGCAUGUGGUUCAAUUCGAUGCAACGCGAAGAACCUUACCUGGGUUUGAAGAGUGAGAGAUACGGGAUGAAAGUCCUUCUCCCCGCAAGGGGCUGUCACUUAGGUGCUGCAUGGCUGUCGUCAGCUCGUGUCGUGAGAUGUUGGGUUAAGUCCCGCAACGAGCGCAACCCUUGUUCGCAGUUACCAUCAUUUAGUUGGGGACUCUGCGAAGACCGCCGGUGACAAACCGGAGGAAGGUGGGGAUGACGUCAAGUCCUCAUGGCCUUUAUGUCCAGGGCUACACACGUGCUACAAUGGCCGGUACAAACCGUUGCAAGCCUGCGAAGGCAAGCCAAUCGGAGAAAGCCGGUCUCAGUUCGGAUUGCAGGCUGCAACUCGCCUGCAUGAAGCUGGAAUCGCUAGUAAUCGCGGAUCAGCACGCCGCGGUGAAUACGUUCCCGGGCCUUGUACACACCGCCCGU
rnacentral:rRNA from 1 species